rnacentral:rRNA from 1 species
CUGCUGCCUUCCGUAGGAGUCUGGUCCGUGUCUCAGUCCCAGUGUGGGGGGCCUUCCUCUCAGAACCCCUACGCAUCGUCGCCACGGUGGGCCGUCACCCCGCCGUCUAGCUAAUGCGCCGCAUGCCCAUCCGCCACCGGAUCGCUCCUUUGGCCACCGGAGGAUGCCCUCCGGUGGCGUCACGGGGUAUUAGGCCGCGUUUCCGCGGGUUAUCCCCCUGUGGCGGCCAGGUUGCAUACGUGUUACUCACCCGCGCGCCGGUCGCCGGCGGG